rnacentral:rRNA from 1 species
UACGUAGGGUGCAGGCGUUAAUCGGAAUUACUGGGCGUAAAGCGUGCGCAGGCGGCUUUGCAAGACAGAUGUGAAAUCCCCGGGCUCAACCCGGGAACUGCGUCCGAUACUGGAAGGCUUGAAUCCGGGAGAGGGAUGUGGAAUUCCAGGUGUAGCGGUGAAAUGCGUAGAUAUCUGGAGGAACACCGGUGGCGAAGGCGACAUCCUGGACCGGUAUUGACGCUGAGGCGCGAAAGCCAGGGGAGCAAACGGG